AUGGUACCACGGGGGAUAUAAAUUUUCCAACCAAGUUAUGCUUCUCUUUUUGGUGGGGCUUGAGAAAUCUAAGCAACUUUGGCACGAAUCUCACAACAAGUAUUUAUGUGUGGGAAAACUUCUUUGCAAUCCUUAUUUCUAUCACUGGUGUGCUACUAUUUGUAUAUCUCAUUGGAAAUGUGCAGACAUUCAUUCAGUUGACAACCACAAAAUCGGAGGACAUAAGGCAAAAGAUUAAAAUAAAAGAG